UACGAAGGGGGCUAGCGUUGCUCGGAAUCACUGGGCGUAAAGCGCACGUAGGCGGAUUGUUAAGUCAGGGGUGAAAUCCUGGAGCUCAACUCCAGAACUGCCUUUGAUACUGGCGAUCUUGAGUCCGGGAGAGGUGAGUGGAAACUGCGAGUGUAGAGGUGAAAUUCGUAGAUAUUCGCAAGAACACCAGUGGCGAAGGCGGCUCACUGGUCCGGUACUGAUGCUGAGGUG
rnacentral:rRNA from 1 species